UGGGGAAUAUUGCACAAUGGACGGAAGUUUGAUGCAGCGACGCCGCGUGGAGGGUGUAGGCCUUCGGGUUGUGAACUCCUUUUUCUCGCGAAAAAGGCACAGUUUUGGCUGUGUUGAUGGUAGUGGGGGAAGAAGCGCCGGCUAACUACGUGCCAGCAGCCGCGGUAAUACGUAGGGCGCGAGCGUUGUCCGGAGUUAUUGGGCGUAAAGAGCUCGUAGGUGGUUCGUCGCGUCUGUCGUGAAAGCCAGCAGCUUAACUGUUGGUCUGCGGUGGGUACGGGCGGGCUUGAGUGCGGUAGGGGUGACUGGAAUUCCUGGUGUAGCGGUGGAAUGCGCAGAUAUCAGGAGGAACACCGAUGGCGAAGGCAGGUCACUGGGCCGUUACUGACACUGAGGAGCGAAAGCGUGGGGAGCGAACAGG
rnacentral:rRNA from 1 species